AUCCCGGCCCUGCGCAACGCGAGACGCCCCAACCCCGCCAGGCCCGGAAGGGAGCAACGGUCGGGCGACCUCGGGUGUGCCGCAGGACAGCCGGGGUUCA
rnacentral:SRP_RNA from 1 species